UGAGCAAUCUGCCCUUCUCAUCGGAAUAAGCGUUGGAAACGACGUCUAAUGCCGAAUACGACCUCCUUUCGCAUGAUCGGAGGUGGAAAGCUCCGGCGGAGAAGGAUGAGCUCGCGGCCUAUCAGCUAGUUGGUGUGGGUAAUGGCCCACCAAGGCGACGACGGGUAGCCGGCCUGGAGAGGGUCGACCGGCCACACUGGGACUGAGACACGGCCCAGACUCCGUACGGGAGCAG
rnacentral:rRNA from 1 species